rfam:Daucus carota subsp. sativus cultivar DH1 chromosome 1, whole genome shotgun sequence.
GUCUCUGAUGAUGAUUCACAAAAUACUUUCGUUCUUCUGAGAUUAAAGUCUAUGUGGAAAUUUUAUGGAGACCUGAACUGAAGAGAU